rnacentral:rRNA from 1 species
CACUCCUACGGGAGGCAGCAGUGGGGAAUUUUGGACCAUGGGCGAAAGCCUGAUCCAGCAAUGCCGCGUGAGUGAAGAAGGCCUUCGGGUUGUAAAGCUCUUUUGUCAGGGAAGAAACGGUGAAAGCUAAUAUCUUUUGCUAAUGACGGUACCUGAAGAAUAAGCACCGGCUAACUACGUGCCAGCAGCCGCGGUAAUACGUAGGGUGCAAGCGUUAAUCGGAAUUACUGGGCGUAAAGCGUGCGCAGGCGGUUUUGUAAGUCUGAUGUGAAAUCCCCGGGCUCAACCUGGGAAUUGCAUUGGAGACUGCAAGGCUAGAAUCUGGCAGAGGGGGGUAGAAUUCCACGUGUAGCAGUGAAAUGCGUAGAUAUGUGGAGGAACACCGAUGGCGAAGGCAGCCCCCUGGGUCAAGAUUGACGCUCAUGCACGAAAGCGUGGGGAGCAAACAGGAUUAGAUACCCGUGUAGUCCCAUGAU